GAUGAACGCUAGCGGCAGGCUUAAUACAUGCAAGUCGAGGGGCAGCACGGUUGGCAAUAACUGGUGGCGACCGGCGCACGGGUGCGUAACACGUAUACAAUCUACCUUAAACAGGGGGAUAGCCUUUCGAAAGAGAGAUUAAUACCCCGUAAUAAAUUGAACGGCAUCGUUUGAUUUUGAAAGCUCCGGCGGUUUGAGAUGAGUAUGCGUCUGAUUAGCUAGUUGGUGAGGUAACGGCUCACCAAGGCGACGAUCAGUAGGGGAUCUGAGAGGACUAACCCCACACUGGUACUGAGACACGGACCAGACUCCUACGGGAGGCAGCAGUAAUGAAUAUUGGUCAAUGGAGGCAACUCUGAACCAGCCAUGCCGCGUGCAGGAUGACGGCCCUAUGGGUUGUAAACUGCUUUUAUACAAGAGAAAACCCUGGUACGUGUACCAGGUUGAUAGUAUUGUAAGAAUAAGCAUCGGCUAACUUCGUGCCAGCCGCCGCCGUAAUAC
rnacentral:rRNA from 1 species